rnacentral:rRNA from 1 species
AAAGACCUUGUGCUUUUAGAGCGGCCGAUGCCUGAUUAGCUAGUUGGUAAGGUAAAGGCUUACCAAGGCAACGAUCAGUAGCUGGUCUGAGAGGACGACCAGCCACACUGGGACUGAGACACGGCCCAGACUCCUACGGGAGGCAGCAGUGGGGAAUUUUGGACAAUGGGCGCAAGCCUGAUCCAGCCAUGCCGCGUGAGUGAAGAAGGCCUUCGGGUUGUAAAGCUCUUUCGGUCGGGAAGAAAUAGUUAUGGCUAAUAUCCAUAAUGAAUGACGGUACCGACAUAAGAAGCACCGGCUAACUACGUGCCAGCAGCCGCGGUAAUACGUAGGGUGCAAGCGUUAAUCGGAAUUAUUGGGCGUAAAGGGUGCGCAGGCGGAUAUAUAAGUCAGAUGUGAAAUCCCUGGGCUUAACCUAGGAAUU